GAUGAACGCUAGCUACAGGCUUAACACAUGCAAGUCGAGGGGCAGCAUGGUCGAAGCUUGCUUCGACUGAUGGCGACCGGCGCACGGGUGCGUAACGCGUAUCGAACCUGCCCUGUACACGGGGAUAGCCUUGCGAAAGUAAGACUAAUACCCAAUGACGUCUCUAGAAGACAUCUGAAAGAGAUUAAAGAUUUAUCGGUGAUGGAUGGGGAUGCGUCUGAUUAGCUUGUUGGCGGGGUAACGGCCCACCAAGGCUACGAUCAGUAGGGGUUCUGAGAGGAAGGUCCCCCACAUUGGAACUGAGACACGGUCCAAACUCCUACGGGAGGCAGCAGUGAGGAAUAUUGGUCAAUGGGCGAGAGCCUGAACCAGCCAAGUAGCGUGCAGGACGACGGCCCUAUGGGUUGUAAACUGCCUUUAUAAGGGAAUAAAGUGCGGGACGCGUCUCGCAUUGCAUGUACCAUUUGAAUAAGGACCGGCUAA
rnacentral:rRNA from 1 species